CACGCUCCUAUCCUCAUUUUGCAUGGAAAAUUCCCAGAUCAAAGUUCGGAGAAGGAUUUGGAGGAGGAAGAAGAGAAGGCAGAAGAAGCAAGGCCAGACAGUGGACUAAAAUAUCCUUGGGUUUUUACUUUUGGAGAUGUACUAGAUGCCCAUUCAUCCUUCCCAUCCAGAGUCAGUGCGUCUCGGAGCUUGGUGACUAAGCUAUCGGAGAGCCACGAGGGUCCCUUCACAAUGAAAAACAAGUCCUGACAGCCCUUGCUUUGCUGUUAAGGGCACUUCUCGAAGCUGAUGGAUGAGCUGGAAAGGAGGAGAGAUUGAUUUUCGGCCUCUUCAAUUUUCCUCGCCCAAGCGGCAGCGCCGCGGCAUGCAUUGCGGCGCCGGGGAUAAGAAUUUGGACCACGGACUAAAAAAAGAUGGAAUAAAGGAGCUUAUUUUGCAGUUUAA